rnacentral:rRNA from 1 species
UACGUAGGGGCGAGCGUUGUCCGGAAUUAUUGGGCGUAAAGGGUUCGUAGGCGGUAAUACAUGUCAGAUGUGAAAUCUUGUGGCUUAACCACAUCAAGCAUCUGAAACUGUAUAACUUGAGUGGAGGAGAGGUAAGUGGAAUUCCUAGUGUAGCGGUGAAAUGCGUAGAUAUUAGGAAGAAUACCAGUAGCGAAGGCGACUUACUGGCCUCUAACUGACGCUGAUGAACGAAAGCGUGGGUAGCAAACAGGAUUAGAUACCCUGGUA